rnacentral:ncRNA from 1 species
UUAUUUUAUUUUGGUUAAUAUUUUUAUUAUUAUUUUAUUUUACAUGUAAAUUUUUGUGUGAAUUUAAUUAAUUUUUAAAAAAUUAAUUAAUAUUUUUAUUCGCAGUGAUUAAUAUUAAUAUAAAAAAGAAAUUUUGUAUUAGUAAUAAUAUAUAGUAUUGGUAAAAUUUGUGCCAGCUACCGCGGUUAUACAAAUAAUACAAAUAAAAAUUUUUAGUAGUAGUUAAAUUACUCAAACUUUAAUAUAAAUAUAAAUUUAUUAGGUGAAAUUUUUAAAUUUAUUUAUUAUUAAUUUUAAAAAUAAUUUAAGCUAUAAACUUUUUAUAAUAAACUAGGAUUAGAUACCCUAUUAUUAAAAAUAAAUAUGAACAUACUAAAGUAGUAUUAGUUAUAUUCUUAAAAUUUAAAAAAUUUGGCGGUAUUUUAGUCUAUUCAGAGGAAUCUGUCCUGUAAUUGAUAAUCCACAUUGAACCUUACUUAAAUUUAUUUAAUUUGUAUAUCGCCGUCAUCAGAAUAUAUUAUAAGAUAAAAUUUUCUUAAUAUUUAAUAAAAUAGUAUGUCAGGUCAAGGUGCAGUUUAUAUUUAAGUAGAGAUGGAUUACAAUAAAUUUAUUUAUUAUGAAUUAUUUUUUGAAAUAAAAAUUUGAAAGUGGAUUUGAAAGUAAUAUAAUAUAGAUUAUUUAUAUGAUUUUAGCUCUAAAAUAUGCACAUAUCGCCCAUCGUUCUUAUUUUUAAAAUAAGAUAAGUUGUAACAUAGUAGAUGUACUGGAAAGUGUAUCUAGAAAGA